AAAGCGCGAUGACUGCUAAACUGGAUGGUGUCAUUAAACAGGUUGGUGAGAUCAGAGAUGUUGACCGCAGACUGCGAACACUAGAAUCAGAUAUGGAGUUCUGUACAUCUUCUCUUGUGUGGAUUAUGGAAACUCUGUCUCAGAGCAGUACAGUG